rnacentral:rRNA from 1 species
AUUGAACGCUGGCGGCAUGCCUAACACAUGCAAGUCGAACGGAUCGGGGGAGGGUGAGUAAUGUCUGGGACCCUGCCCGAGGGAGGAGUACAACUACUGGAAACGGUUGCUAAUAACGCAUACCACCGGAUGUGUCCGGAUGGGAUUAGCGUGUGGGUGGGGCAACGGCUCACCAAGGCGACGAUCCCUAGCUGGUCUACGAGGAUGACCAGCCACACUGGAACUGAGACACGGUCCAGACUCCUACGGGAGGCAGCAGUGGGGAAUAUUGCACAAUGGGCGAAAGCCUGAUGCAGCCAUGCCGCGUGUAUGAAGAAGGCCUUCGGGUUGUAAAGUACUUUCGGCGGGGAGGCGUUACCCGCAGAAGAAGCACCGGCUAACUACGUGCCAGCAGCCGCGGUAAUAC